GAUAAACGCUGGCGGCGUACAUGAGACAUGCAAGUCGAACGAAGGAUCGGGCUUGCUCGAUCCUUAGUGGCGGACGGCUGAGUAACGCGUAGGUGACCUACCCCGAAGUGGGGAAUAACUGCCCGAAAGGGUGGCUAAUACCGCAUGUGGUCGCACGUUCAUUCGUGCGAGUAAAGCCGCAAGGCGCUUCGGGAGGGGCCUGCGUCCGAUUAGCUCGUUGGUGGGGUAAUGGCUUACCAAGGCGACGAUCGGUAGGUGGUCUGAGAGGACGAUCACCCAGACUGGGACUGAGACACGGCCCAGACUCCUACGGGAGGCAGCAGUCGGGAAUUUUGCUCAAUGGGGGAAACCCUGAAGCAGCAACGCCGCGUGAGGGAUGAAGGCCUUCGGGUUGUAAACCUCUUUUGUCAGGGACGAUGAUGACGGUACCUGGCGAAUAAGCCACGGCUAACUACGUG
rnacentral:rRNA from 1 species